UACGUAGGCAGCAAGCGUUGUUCGGAGUUACUGGGCGUAAAGGGUGUGUAGGCGGUUCUUUAAGUUUGCUGUGAAAUCUCCCGGCUUAACCGGGAGGGUGCGGUGAAUACUGAGGGACUAGAGUACGGGAGAGGAAAGUGGAAUUCCUGGUGUAGCGGUGAAAUGCGUAGAGAUCGGGAGGAACACCAGUGGCGAAAGCGGCCGGCUGGGCCCAACCUGACGCUGAGGCGCGAAAGCGUGGGGAGCGAACCGG
rnacentral:rRNA from 1 species